rnacentral:rRNA from 1 species
CCUACGGGGGGCAGCAGUGGGGAAUAUUGCACAAUGGGGGAAACCCUGAUGCAGCGACGCCGCGUGAAGGAAGAAGGUUUUCGGAUCGUAAACUUCUAUCAGCAGGGAAGAAGAAAGUGACAGUACCUGACUAAGAAGCCCCGGCUAACUACGUGCCAGCAGCCGCGGUAAUACGUAGGGGGCAAGCGUUAUCCGGAAUCACUGGGUGUAAAGGGUGCGUAGGCGGUAGGGCAAGUCAGAUGUGAAAGGCUACGGCUCAACCGUAGUAAGCCCUUGGAACUGAUUGGCUUGAGUGCAGGAGAGGAGAGUGGAAUUCCUAGUGUAGCGGUGAAAUGCGUAGAUAUUAGGAGGAACACCAGUUGCGAAGGUGGCUCUCUGGACUGUAACUGACGCUGAGGCACGAAAGCGUGGGGAGCGAACAGGAUUAGAUACCCGAGUAGUC